AAUGAACGCUGGCGGCGCGCCUAAUACAUGCAAGUCGAGCGAGAAGACGUAGCAAUACGUUUGUAAAGCGGCGAACGGGUGAGGAAUACAUGGGUAACCUACCCUCGAGUGGGGAAGUAACUAGCCGAAGGUUAAGCUAAUACCGCGUACGCUUCUUGGACUUCGGUUCGAGGGAGGGAAAGACGAUGCCGAGGGUAGUCGCGCUCUUGGAUGGGCGUCAUGUCCUAUCAGCUUGUUGG
rnacentral:rRNA from 1 species